rnacentral:lncRNA from 1 species
GUCUGACUCUCCUGCAGCUUCAAUUGAAAUCUGCUCAGAAGAUUCUCUUUUUACUCUUCUCCCAAGGGGGGAGUGCGAAGCUCCCCCUUGUUGCUUUGGGAGGCCUGCUGCCACUACCACCACCCAUCUCCACUGUACACUGUAACCGCUAGUUUUCUGAUUUUGACCUGCAGCUUCAUUUGGAAACACAUUCAAAUUUUCCAGAAGAAAAACAGAGAUCAGUUUUGAACCUCAGGGAGGUGGCCCUUGCUGUGAGGACCUUCACCGGGUCACAGGAGGAGACACGUCCUGUCGGCAAAGCGAACAGGCCAGGAUCUGCUGGGAAUCAAGGAGAGGAACCCAGAACUGAGAGACCCCGGGCACAUUCCCGGAUAUAA